UUGGAGGGCAAGUCUGGUGCCAGCAGCCGCGGUAAUUCCAGCUCCAAUAGCGUAUAUUAAAGUUGUUGCAGUUAAAAAGCUCGUAGUUGAACCUUGGGCCUGGCUGGCCGGUCCGUCUCAUCGCGUGUACUGGUCCGGCUGGGCCUUUCCUUCUGGCUAGGCACAUGCCCUUUACUGGGUGUGUGUCCGAACCAGGACUUUUACUUUGAAAAAAUUAGAGUAUUCAAAGCAGGCAUAUGCUCGAAUACAUUAGCAUGGAAUAAUAG
rnacentral:rRNA from 1 species